rnacentral:rRNA from 1 species
CACGUAGGGUGCAAGCGUUGUCCGGAAUUAUUGGGCGUAAAGGGCUCGUAGGCGGUCCGUCACGUCGGGAGUGAAAACCCGGGGCUCAACCCCGGGCCUGCAUUCGAUACGGGCAGACUAGAGUUCGGUAGGGGAGUCUGGAAUUCCUGGUGUAGCGGUGAAAUGCGCAGAUAUCAGGAGGAACACCGGUGGCGAAGGCGCCACUCUGGGCCGGAACUGACGCUGAGGAGCGAAAGCGUGGGUAGCAAACAGG